rnacentral:rRNA from 1 species
UAGGGAAUAUUGGACAAUGGGGGCAACCCUGAUCCAGCCAUGCCGCGUGAGUGAAGAAGGCCCUCGGGUUGUAAAGCUCUUUUGUCCGGAAAGAAAAGCAUUCGGUGAAUACCCGGAUGUUCUGACGGUACCGGAAGAAUAAGCACCGGCUAACUCCGUGCCAGCAGCCGCGGUAAUACGGAGGGUGCAAGCGUUAUCCGGAUUCACUGGGUUUAAAGGGUGCGUAGGCGGAUAUGUAAGUCAGUGGUGAAAUCAACGGGCUCAACCUGUUAACUGCCAUUGAUACUGUGUAUCUUGAAUAUGAGAGAGGUAGGCGGAAUGUUGCAUGUAGCGGUGAAAUGCUUAGAUAUGCUACGGAACACCGAUUGCGAAGGCAGCUUACUAUUUCGUAAUUGACGCUGAGGCACGAAAGCGUGGGUAGCGAACA